rnacentral:rRNA from 1 species
UAGGGAAUCUUCGGCAAUGGGGGGAACCCUGACCGAGCAACGCCGCGUGAGUGAAGAAGGUUUUCGGAUCGUAAAGCUCUGUUGUUAAGGAAGAACGAGUGUGAGAAUGGAAAGUUCAUGCUGUGACGGUACUUAACCAGAAAGGGACGGCUAACUACGUGCCAGCAGCCGCGGUAAUACGUAGGUCCCGAGCGUUGUCCGGAUUUAUUGGGCGUAAAGCGAGCGCAGGCGGUUAGAAAAGUCUGAAGUGAAAGGCAGUGGCUCAACCAUUGUAGGCUUUGGAAACUGUUUAACUUGAGUGCAGAAGGGGAGAGUGGAAUUCCAUGUGUAGCGGUGAAAUGCGUAGAUAUAUGGAGGAACACCGGUGGCGAAAGCGGCUCUCUGGUCUGUAACUGACGCUGAGGCUCGAAAGCGUGGGGAGCGAACA